GCCAUAUUAACCAUAAAUCCUCUCAACUGGGCGCAUGCAAGCUGCUCUGUGACACAAUACACUGAGAGUGAGCAAACAGGAGGGGGCCCCUGGGAAGUCUCUGCAUUGGAGUUCCCACACUUCCCUCUGGACACCUCCUGUACCCAAAGGGGCAGGGAGCAUGACCACCUGACAUACAGUCUGUUCCACAUGUUUGGGUCAGUCUGUAUAUUAAAUAUCAGUACAAUUUAAACUCUAUCUUAUUUUUAGAGUUACAAUAUAGAAGUGGUUGUUGUUUUUCCCAUCUAGUGGAUUUUUUGUGGACCCCUUGAUGCCAUUCAUUAGAGACCACUGGGGAGCCCACGAGCCUUUGGAGUCAAAAGAAAGAAAAAACAAAGAACUUAGAAGACUGACUUAACCUCUCUGAGCUUCAUUUUAUUCUUCUUUAAGAUGCCCAUCGCCCAUCUGUUUGUGGAAUAGCAAGUGGGAGAUGAUGCAGUGUGGCUGCAUCAUGACUGCUGCUCUCCUUGCUUGGCGUUGACACCUUGUGCCCUGAUGGAGCCCCACACAAACCAACCUUUAAUGUAUCUGCAACCGCUGUUAGGAGUUGGGGACAAGACCUCUCCCUGUCCUCUAUCCUCUAUAGAGAUGGAGAAGAAGCAAGGUGUGGACGCUGGUAGAAUCUCCAAGAAAGAGCCAAGUACUCCCUCCGCCUUCCAUGGUGGUCCCCUUUCUGACCCUUUGGCUCCUAAUGGAGAGAGGGCAUGGUGAUGAUCUCCCUGGGAAGUAUUGAGAUCUGAGACUAGAAGAGAUCCAUGCUCAGCUUCAGGUCUGGAUGCACCUGCCAGAUGCUGAGUCCGAAAGAGCUCCUCAGCCCUACACAGCAUGAGAUAGCUGAGUAAGACAUUUGCCCAAUGCCUAGGAGGCCUGGAUGAGACAGACUCAUGGAGAGCCACUUAGCAUCCUAAAAAGGAAUGAUAGGGCAGCCAAAUGGUUUUCUUUCUGGUAGUUUGAACUGAACACUAUGAAGACUGGAGAGUUCUCAGGGGUGAGAGAGGGAAUUGGGAGGAAGAUAGUAAUGGCAUCAUAUGACUGGAAACCAGAUAAGGCCAAUCAGGACUCAGCAGAUGACACUGAGGAGAGAUGGCUAUAACUGGGAACAGAACCCCCAGGCAGAUGACAGCCCAGGAGCUGGAGACAGUUCACACCACCAUACUAUGACUAUCAUUAAGUCCUUUGAACGUAAAUGCUGUCCCAAGAGGAGAAGAAGGGAGAAAACAAUGAAGGAAAUUCUGUCUACCUGAAAAUGAUUUUUUUUUCAGCUAUAAUGGGAGACCUGAAAUAAUGUGGUUAUUUUCAAUGUGCUUAAGUCAAACUAUAGAAAAUACAAUGCAACAUUUUCACUAUACCUGAUAAUGUGACUCAGAAGUUUUAUAAAUGGAACAGUGGUAGAGAAAUUAUCUUUUCCUCGAGGACUCUACAGUAAUGGCUUAUAAAGCUGUCAGGGGCUUAUACUUUUUGAGGGGUGGCUAUUUUCUGCCAUAGCUAUUGAUACACUCAGGUUUCAAAAUUCAUUUUUGCAUCAGUUUUGGACUAUUACAUUUUUUAGAAAUAUCCAUUUUUUUAAGAUUUACAAAUUUAAUACCAUCAAGCUACCACUGGUACCACCAUGUGACAUUUGUCAUCUCCUCUGUCUCAAUGGUAGACCUCCUAAUUCCUAAUGGUAUAUAUUCGGUGUUUUGUUCUUUUUUUCUCCAUUAACUUUGACAGA
rnacentral:lncRNA from 1 species